UACAGAGGUCCCAAGCGUUGUUCGGAUUCACUGGGCGUAAAGGGUGCGUAGGUGGCCAGGUAAGUUCGGUGUGAAAGCUCGGAGCUUAACUCCGAAAUGUCAUUGAAUACUAUCUGGCUUGAGGGUCGGAGGGAGACUGGAAUUCUCGGUGUAGCAGUGAAAUGCGUAGAUAUCGAGAGGAACACCAGUGGCGAAGGCGAGUCUCUGGACGACUCCUGACACUGAGGCACGGAAAGCUAGGGGAGCAAACAGG
rnacentral:rRNA from 1 species